GAUGAACGCUGGCGGCGUGCCUAAUACAUGCAAGUCGAGCGAACAGACGAGAAGCUUGCUUCUCUGAUGUUAGCGGCGGACGGGUGAGUAACACGUGGAUAACCUACCUAUAAGACUGGGAUAACUUCGGGAAACCGGAGCUAAUACCGGAUAAUAUUUUGAACCGCAUGGUUCAAAAGUGAAAGACGGUCUUGCUGUCACUUAUAGAUGGAUCCGCGCUGCAUUAGCUAGUUGGUAAGGUAACGGCUUACCAAGGCAACGAUGCAUAGCCGACCUGAGAGGGUGAUCGGCCACACUGGAACUGAGACACGGUCCAGACUCCUACGGGAGGCAGCAGUAGGGAAUCUUCCGCAAUGGGCGAAAGCCUGACGGAGCAACGCCGCGUGAGUGAUGAAGGUCUUCGGAUCGUAAAACUCUGUUAUUAGGGAAGAACAUAUGUGUAAGUAACUGUGCACAUCUUGACGGUACCUAAUCAGAAAGCCACGGCUAACUACGUGCCAGCAGCCGCGGUAAUACGUAAGUGGCAAGCGUUAUCCGGAAUUAUUGGGCGUAAAGCGCGCGUAGGCGGUUUUUUAGUCUGAUGUGAAAGCCCACGGCUCAACCGUGGAGGGUCAUUGGAAACUGGAAAACUUGAGUGCAGAAGAGGAAAGUGGAAUUCCAUGUGUAGCGGUGAAAUGCGCAGAGAUAUGGAGGAACACCAGUGGCGAAGGCGACUUUCUGGUCUGUAACUGACGCUGAUGUGCGAAAGCGUGGGGAUCAAACAGGAUUAGAUACCCUGGUAGUCCACGCCGUAAACGAUGAGUGCUAAGUGUUAGGGGGUUUCCGCCCCUUAGUGCUGCAGCUAACGCAUUAAGCACUCCGCCUGGGGAGUACGACCGCAAGGUUGAAACUCAAAGGAAUUGACGGGGACCCGCACAAGCGGUGGAGCAUGUGGUUUAAUUCGAAGCAACGCGAAGAACCUUACCAAAUCUUGACAUCCUUUGACAACUCUAGAGAUAGAGCCUUCCCCUUCGGGGGACAAAGUGACAGGUGGUGCAUGGUUGUCGUCAGCUCGUGUCGUGAGAUGUUGGGUUAAGUCCCGCAACGAGCGCAACCCUUAAGCUUAGUUGCCAUCAUUAAGUUGGGCACUCUAAGUUGACUGCCGGUGACAAACCGGAGGAAGGUGGGGAUGACGUCAAAUCAUCAUGCCCCUUAUGAUUUGGGCUACACACGUGCUACAAUGGACAAUACAAAGGGCAGCGAAACCGCGAGGUCAAGCAAAUCCCAUAAAGUUGUUCUCAGUUCGGAUUGUAGUCUGCAACUCGACUACAUGAAGCUGGAAUCGCUAGUAAUCGUAGAUCAGCAUGCUACGGUGAAUACGUUCCCGGGUCU
rnacentral:rRNA from 1 species